AUACAUUAUGGUAAAUCUUUGUUUACAGAAUUUUUUGCUGCUUCACAGGUCUCUGAUGCUGUUAAAUUCACAAGAGUAUUUCUUUAAAAGUUAAGAAGCCUGUUUUGUAUGGUAAUCUCUGGAAACACAUCUCAAAGGGUGCUUUUGGGAGGGGGAAAUGGGAGGAGGGUCAGAGGGUACCCAAAUCAAGCAGAAGUGGUGAAGGUCAAACAAUUGGCGGUAAAGAUGGGCAACUAUGGCAGGUGGAACAAAGUAUCUCCAAAAUGGACUUCAACCACACAGCUGAAGCAGUAUUGGGGUUUUGUGGGGUGGGAGUAUAUGUUGUUCUUAAAGUAACCUUUGUUCCCUGCCCAGUAAAUGGAAUUCAGCACUGCCCUGCAUUCUAUACCUUUGUGAUAAUGCUUUGAAUGCUGCCUUCGGUUCUGCCAAGGAGAGAAAGAUAUAUCAAGUUGGGCUUGGCUUUGGAGGCCAGAUGAGGCUUUUGAUCAUGUUACUCCUGAUGCAGAAAUUACUGCCUGUGCCAGGUCUUCAAAGGUAAUGGUUACAGAUUCAUGCCUCAGUACUGAUCCUAUGUAUCUGAUACAUUCAUAGUUAGAUGAGCAUGGGGCAUUGAUGGGCCAGCUGGCUUGAAAAAUCACAUAGUGAUGCUGUCUUCCCCAUCCAUACACAGUUUUAGGAAUGUUUUACCCUUUUUAGCAUUGACAGAAGAACUUCGCAAGUGUACAAUAUAUUUAAGCUCAGUUUCAGGAAAAACUGAGGGAUGAAUUCAAAUAUUGAUUAAUUAUUUAAUUGAAGUGAACCACUGUUUUAUCAGAAAAAAACUAAAGCAUCUGUUAUCUGACUGGAGUGAGUGAGAUAUGAGAUGCCUGUUAAGUUUCAGCUGUGGAUUUUUUUGAGCUUUUUAGUAAUGUUAUUCCCCAGGGAGAUAAGACUUUAUUUCAGAAAACUGCAAUUACAUGAUGUCAUUGUAAUUGGAUAUUUCAAGGAAAGAGGUGAGAGAUAGUGACAACCACAGAUAAUAUAAAAUGCUUGUUACCCAACAUGCAGCUUUGUCUUUAAUAAAUAAAUGUUAUACAUUUACCACCAGCAUAUUUCAGGGUAAGACGUUUCAACAUUUGUUCAUUACUGGUGUUUGGUUUUUCUUCCCCGCUUUAUUUUCAUGUUUCAUUAUAUCUGUGACAUUGUGAUCUUGCACACAAGAACUCUCUUUUAAUGACUCCGUAGUGCGUAGAAAAUGGCGCUUUGUAGUUGUUGUUUUUACUGACAAGUUAUAUUUGGACUGAUACAAUCAUAGAGUAUAAAAUCUGAAGUAAACACAUUUUCCUAGAACAAUUUAGACAAUGGACUAUAUAUAUAUGUUUUCUUUUUGGACUGUUAAGAGAGAGAUUGCAAUAGAAAAGAAAAAGAUACAAUGAGCUGCAUAAAUAUUCUUAGAGACUAAGUUCAUAUUUUAAAAAAUAGAAAUAAUUUCAUUUGUGAGGAUUAUCCAUAAAAAUUAAGGAUUAUUAAAUUAUUUCCACUCAUUAAACAUGCAGGCUUGUUUCAGUCACAUUCAGGGACAAUAAAAGUGUGUUCCAACCGGGCACCUGCAACAAAUAAACACUUCAAUUGAAAGAGCGUCAGGGUGAUUUCACUGCCGGGGACAUCAAGACUUGCAAGUCCUGAUUUAACAAGUAAUGUGCAUGGAAGCUUGCAACCAUGCACACCUCUAACAGGAGGGUUUCCUUGGAGGAUUUGCUUCUUCAGAGUCUAUAUCCAAUACCAAUAUAAAGAGAAUUAAGGUCAAAAUAUAUAAAUUAAGUUUAUUGAUGAUCCAUUAAUUGGAUUUUACAGCAUUUUAAUGUGUUUAUGGAUUCAGAAUAUGUCGUGGUUAUGGAGGAUUUAUGAUACUGCUAAAAGAGCAAUUUAGGAUUUAAUCGCUUGGUUAUCUGCCCAUGAGAUUUGUCAAGAGAAAUGAUGAGGAAAUUGCCCUGUAUCGAUUUGCUUUUUUUUUUUUUAAACAAACACCAGGGCUUUAAGCACUAAUUGUAGCCCUUCCUGAUCUUGUGCUCCCCUAUGGCAGAUUCAGAAGAUCUGUCCCAGAAGACUUCAUCGCGCCCUUGGAGCUCCAGCAGAAACAGUUUGGCUUAGUGGAUGAUUAUGGCCUUCAACCACGCCACCCCAAGUUCCAGAUACGGAAACAACGUAAAGAGUCAGAAACACUGCACAGAUCACAUAAAAGCAAAAGGGACGAACCCAAUUUUGAAGAGUAUUAUUACGAUGACCUCCUUUGAAAAGUGACAAGAGAACAUGCUGUUUUGCAUAGCCUUGCCUGGUAAAACAGCCAAAUGCAUACAGCAAUAAUCCCCAUUCUGUUACUUAACACUAUUCUAGAAACUUUCCUUGCAGCUCUGUAUUUUCUGUGUGUCCCUAUCAUAAACACAACGUUUUAAGAUGA